AUAACUGCUGCUGUGAAGAGAAGAAUUGUCAGACUCAGUGUUGAACAUCAGCUACUUUCUCCUGUUGCUUUAAACCUUCUUGUAGAGAUGGAACAUUGGCUGUGGAUGAUUCUUGCUGCUCUUUUCUUUGAGUGUAAAGGAGAAGACAGAGUGAUCCAGGAAACAGGAGAUGUCAUUGCUGCUGAAGGAGAGACAGUUAUACUCCCCUGUACAUUUGAGACCAGUGGCACAAGUCCUUAUUUAUUCUGGUACAAACAAGAAGCAAAUGAUUUUCCAAAGCUUCUGCUGCAGCGCGUCUCAACAAAAGCAGGUAAUCCUGCAGAAAAACAGAAAGAGAGAAUCGAUGCUGUGGCCAACAAGACAUCAGUUCCUCUGGAGAUCCAGAAGCUUCAGCUGUCUGACUCUGCUGUGUACUACUGUGCUCUGACGCCCACAGUGACAGGAAACAGCACAACUCUGUACAAAAACUUUGGAGCAAAGACAACAGAAUACUCCACAACAUCCACUAGAGGGAGCCACACACUGUUCAACCUCAAUGGUUUCUUAUGAUCCAGUC